GACGAACGCUGGCGGCGUGCCUAACACAUGCAAGUCGAACGGAAAUACUUUGGAAGCUUGCGAAGAAGUAUUUUAGUGGCGGACGGGUGAGUAACGCGUGGGUAAUCUACCUAUAAGUGGGGAACAACAGUUGGAAACGACUGCUAAUACCGCAUACGCUGUCGCAAGACAGGAAAGGUGGCCUCUGAAUAUGCUGCCGCUUCUAGAUGAGCCCGCGUCUGAUUAGCUAGUUGGUGGGGUAAAGGCCUACCAAGGCGACGAUCAGUAGCCGGCCUGAGAGGGUGAACGGCCACACUGGGACUGAGACACGGCCCAGACUCCUACGGGAGGCAGCAGUGGGGAAUAUUGCGCAAUGGGGGAAACCCUGACGCAGCGACGCCGCGUGAGCGAUGAAGGCCUUAGGGUUGUAAAGCUCUGUUUUAAGGGACGAAUGUUACGGGGAGUAAUAUGCCCUGUAAAUGACGGUACCUUAAGAGGAAGCCCCGGCUAACUACGUGCCAGCCGCCGCCGUAA
rnacentral:rRNA from 1 species